rnacentral:rRNA from 1 species
CCUACGGGAGGCAGCAGUGGGGAAUCUUGCGCAAUGGGCGAAAGCCUGACGCAGCGACGCCGCGUGAGGGCUGAAGGUCUUCGGAUCGUACACCUCUGUCAGCAGGGAAGAAAGGUCACUGUGCUAAUCAGCAGUGAAUUGACGGUACCUGCAAAGGAAGCACCGGCUAAAUCCGUGCCAGCAGCCGCGGUAAUACGGAGGGUGCGAGCGUUAAUCGGAAUUACUGGGCGUAAAGCGCUCGUAGGCGGUAUGUCAAGUCAAGGGUGAAAUCCCCGCGCUCAACGUGGGAACUGCCUUGGAAACUGGCAAACUGGAGUGUGUGAGAGGAGAGGGGAAUUCCAGGUGUAGGAGUGAAAUCCGUAGAUAUCUGGAGGAACAUCAGUGGCGAAGGCGACUGUCUGGCACAUAACUGACGCUGAGGAGCGAAAGCGUGGGUAGCAAACAGGAUUAGAUACCCGAGUAGUC